CCUACGGGCGGCAGCAGUGGGGAAUAUUGGACAAUGGGCGAAAGCCUGAUCCAGCCAUGCCGCGUGUGUGAAGAAGGCCUUCGGGUUGUAAAGCACUUUCAGUGGGGAAGAAAGCCUUGGGGCUAAUACCCUCGAGGAAGGACAUCACCCACAGAAGAAGCACCGGCUAACUCCGUGCCAGCAGCCGCGGUAAUACGGAGGGUGCGAGCGUUAAUCGGAAUUACUGGGCGUAAAGCGCGCGUAGGCGGUCUGAUAAGCCGGUUGUGAAAGCCCCGGGCUCAACCUGGGAACGGCAUCCGGAACUGUCAGGCUAGAGUGCAGGAGAGGAAGGUAGAAUUCCCGGUGUAGCGGUGAAAUGCGUAGAGAUCGGGAGGAAUACCAGUGGCGAAGGCGGCCUUCUGGACUGACACUGACGCUGAGGUGCGAAAGCGUGGGUAGCAAACAGGAUUAGAUACCCUUGAGUC
rnacentral:rRNA from 1 species